UCCAACAGCCAUACCACCCUGCAUCCCACUGCUGUCUUGCCUCUAAAGCUAAGCAGUGUUGGGCCUGGUCAAUCCUAGGACGGGACCCAAUGCUGUUGGAA
rnacentral:rRNA from 1 species